UCCGCUCAUCACAGCCUCUGGAGCACCAUCUCAAGAACAGCCACCGCGUCACUGGCCUUGCCACCGCUAGAAAAAUCAAAGAACGAAGCUGUCGCCUCUCCCCGGUUGCUGUCGAUGUCAAUCAUCAACUCCUCGUCCUAACUGAUCUGACCCAGUUAACCAAGCAAUACUUAAUUUCUACAAGAAGAUCUGGCGUCAGCCAUGAAGCCGUGGAGCAUCUUCUGCUGGUUUCCAUAUACAUAUGAAAGCUUUUGUUUGUUGAGCAUAUCAGGCUGGUGGAGUUUGAAUCACUGGAGAAGACAACAGUAUCAUUUUUCAAUUUCUUCAAGCUUUUAACAUAUAAUCCACUUGCAAGUAGUGCUAUGAGCAAAGCAAAUCCUAUAAGAGGCCCUGCAAUAGUUUGAAAGUUUUUGUUGGUUUUGUAAACCAAGAAUGUUUUUUGCAUGAACGGUUUGUCGAAAAGGGAGUGGAACGACAUGUAUGGUUAUUAGACCAUCAAUUUAGGUGGCUUAAUAUUUUAUGACAGUAGUCUCUCUGUAGAUCACAAUUCUUACAAUUGUAAAUUUAAGUCUUCCUUGCUUCUUUGUUGGUGAUUUCAGCAUGAAAUUUUUUUGUUAUCUAAUCAUUAUAUACUUAAAAAAAAUACUGAAACAUAUACUCAAACUAAUUUAUACAAUU